AAAGUCCUAGUCUAAGUGAUAAUGACAGUAGUUUUAGGGGCUAAAGGUUAAGUGUUUUUAGGACUUUU
rnacentral:tRNA from 1 species